GUCAUUGGAUUGUGACUUGAUGUUCCCAGGCUGACUUCUGUCACUGUGACUCAACAACUACAUUUAUUCCUCAAGCAUCCCCACUCACUCUCUCCCCUCCCACCGCUCACAGCCUCCCACACACAGAUUAGCAGCACACAGGAGUCUACACAAAGCCCACCCUCUCCUAACCCAGACAACCCAUUACAGAGGGUCAGUGUGGGAGUGCAGGGCAUACACAUGUCUGCCCUGGACUUCCUCCAGGAGAUGCCAGCAGAAGGGACCCCAUCUUCCACCCUGAGAUCCAGCCAGCCCUGCCCCUGGGCUGCUCCUCCUCCUGUGAGCAGAUCUUCCUACUAGAACCCCACCUAUCAAGGCUGGCAGGGGCUUACAGCAUCCAAAUGGCGCCUCCUUUGAACACUCAGGGCUCAAGCACAGCAGGGCUGGAGGGGCUGCAGCUGCAAGGCUCAGGCAGGGCCAGCAUCCUGUACCCACGUUCAGUAAAUAGGGCUGUGCACCAUGCAACACUUUCCUGAGUGCCUUCCCUCAUCUAUGAAUCUGGCUUACACUGUAUCAAUUUAGCCAUGAUCCUUUAUGAAGAUAAUUAGCUAUAAAAUAUCCUGUCAUAGGAGGCGAGUAUGAUCUGUUUCCCUCUUUCCACAUGAUGGGAGAUUUUACACAAAAUAAUUUAAAUUUCAUUCGGGGUAUCCUAGGCCUUUUGAUCCUAGAACUGGGUUUCUCAGCCUCAGCAGCACUGACCUCUACUCACAAGCUCUGAGCAGCACACACAACCCUCAGACUCCCUGAGAUGCUGCACCAGGGAGCAGCCAUCACCCAACGGGGAUCCGGUGCUGUAGCCGACAGGUCUAAGUCUUGGUUCAGUACACUGUGGGAUUGUUCAUCUGUUUUUGAGACAGAGUCUCCUGUAUGCCAGGCUGGCCUUGAACUCCUAAUGCUCCUUCCUUCUUCUUCCUCUCAACCACAUAUCUGAUAAUCUUAUGAAAUUUACAUUCUUAUAUCCCCAGAAAAUUUACUAACAAAUUUUCCUUCAAUCUUUAUCCUUCCUUCCCUCCUGCCUCUGCAUACACCAGGCUAGCCAGCCUGCCAGGGAUUCUCUCAUCCCCUCCUGUCUUGCCAUAGGAGGGCUGGGACUGCAGACGUGCACUGCAGCAUCUGGCACUGUGCAGCUCCAUGCUUGUGUGCACUGCACCCCCUGAGCCAUCUCCACCACACACAUUUGUGCAUUCUACGAUAUUUAUAAUAUUUAUACACUGUACACACUUCCAGGAGAUAUUUCCACUCCCGCCUUCCUUCCAGCAUCAUUCCCACAGCUGUGACAUGUGACCCCACCAACAGACGAACGGACAAAGCACAUGGAGAAUGAGGUCCACACACAGUGAAGCACUUACUACACUAUGGAUGCACACGGAGAACAACAAGUGCAAUAAGGAACGGUAAGAUGCUGGUUAAUUGGUUUGAGUGGCGGAGGCCGUGGUUGACAGUGGGAGAUGUAGACCCAUGAGGAAGCGAGUGGGAAGAAGCUCGUCAAAGACUGGGAAAUUUCAGCCACACAACUGAAGUUCAGAGAUACAUCAUGAAACAUGGCGAUUGUGAUCAACAGUUUAAAAGACUAAGGGCAUAGACAGUAAGCUUGCUCAUUACAACAAUGCUGAGAGAUUUAGUCAUUCCGGUGCACAUGAAACCUCCAAAUUAUCAUACUAUACGCGAUACAAAAACAUCAUCUGAAAACUGAACAGGUUCUGCUUUACAUCAGUACGUACACCUUCUUUUCCUUGUUGUUCUUCAGACAAGGCCUCACUGUGCGGUCCCGCUAGUCUGGACCUUGUUAUGUGGACCAAGCUGACCCUGAACUCAUAAUAAUCCUCCUGCUUCUACCUCCCAGGUGCUGAGAUUAAAAUGUACACCACAAAGCCUAGCUUUUCUUUUUCGGUCCCUUUCUUAAAUAUCCAACCAGUAAUCGCUUUAUUUCCCACGCUCCCCUGUCCUGCAGAGCACUGAGAAGGAACCCAAAAUGGCCUCACAGAGCAACAACUAAAGCUAACCAGGCCCUUAGUGUACGGUGUCACUGCACCCACAGGCUUCACCACAGGCAUUCUAAGGUCCAUGACAGAACUAGAGAGACACAGGGGACAGAACCAAGACUCCAACCCGGAUACCACAGACCCACAUGUCCACGUCCAACCACAGCAUUGCUCACCUGGCUCUGGCCAAUGUUACUCAUUACACACACGCACGCACACACACACUGAAAAUUACUGGCUCUCAAAGAUGCCAAAUUUAGCACUACCACUUUCCUGCUCCUGGAAGUCUCACAAGUGAACAAAAUUUGUCUACUACCUACAUUUUUCCCCUGUGUGGAAUACCUAUUAAAUAUGUCCCCGCUUAACCUUAAGUAAAAGAGACUCGAAUUAUGAUAUUUAUUUAUUGGGCUCUGUGCAAUUACUAGGGGACUAUCCUAACCUAUAUCUCCAAACGACACUUUUGACUACUGGCUCAACUGUGCUCCCCAAAUACUCGUGUUUCAAACUCUCUGGGCUACUUCUGCUCCAGCAGUCUGGGAUCCUGGAAAGGCAUAACACUCUGGCAGGAGCUGUUGGUUCAACUCUUGGAGACCUCCUGUUCUGUAGUCUGUUCCUCCCCUCUGUUCCUUCUGUCUUCUCUCCUCCCUUGGGGCCUACAUGAUACCCACAGCCCAGCUGCUCAAACUCUACCUCUCUCUAUUUCUCUCAGUGACUGACUGUGGUCAGUUUUAUUUAAACACUGGUUUUAAAUUGGGGAGCAAAGUUCACAUAGCAUCACUUGGUAUAUGAGGAUCUGCUUGUGGUGAGGGGCGGGGGUAACCAGAUCUUUGGAGCCAGUAUUUAGCAUUAAAUACAAGCAACACCAGCACCCCGAAGUCCACCUGCUUUGAACGGAAGGUCUAUAAAGAACAAAGUCCAUCUGCUAGGUGAUGCCACGGAUAGGAAAUGAUUUAGCAAGUCAGAGUCUGAGAUUCCUAAGUUAACCUCUGGAGAUUCCUAUUUAUAAAGUCUAGGGGGAAAGGUCUUAUUUAUUGGAGGAUGUCAAGGAUCACUGAAACAAUAAUGAGAAUACUAAAUGGGAGGGGAAGGAACAGUGUAAGGGCCACAAAGUUGGAGCUAUCAGUCUGUUACUCCUUCAUUUACUGACGAUCCUAUUAUCUAAAACUAACGCCUCAUUUCUCCAACUGAGAAAGCGCAAACUCGCCCUUGAGGCUUUGCUGGGUGGCAAAAAUGAUCUCAGGCUUCUCCAGCUCUCCUUUGGAAUAAUGGCCGAGUCAGGGAGCCUGAGGAAGCAUGAAAUCCCAGACUAUAUCUGAGAGCAUCGUCAGUGAGCACUUCCCAUCACUUCUCACAACACUCACGUGGCUAGAGCUCUAGGAAACUUAGGGAACUUAACAAGUAGCUCCCCACCACACACACACACACACACACACACACACACACACACACACACACAGAGGCGACCCUCGAAGGCACUUCUCGGCCUCAAAUGCUUGUCCCAAGCUCAAGUCUGCAUCUCAGAGGAAGUUUCCCUUCAGAUUCAGCACCUGACCUUUCCUUGCUUCAGCCCCUGUGUCCCGGAGAGAAAGCACAGUGACACAGGUAAUGCAGAGAGCUCAAGAUGUGUAUACACACAGACAAACACACAGAUGCACAAACAUCACGGUCCCUGCACACUCACACAAAUAUCAACAUCCACCCACACCCAGCCUGAUGGCUCCGGCCUUACUCUGUGGGGACGAAGGCCAAAGAGCGAUUUCCUCCACCUACGAAAAAAAUCGGACUUUGGACUGUAGGUUUGCACGACACCGGAAUUCGAUCCGUUACUUCCGGCGCGGUGAACCCUGGGAAAUACAGUCCUCGCGGCGGAACUCCGGAAAGUACCAUACUCUGAGGUUCAGGGAGAUCCGGUUAUACUACUUGGACCAACCCACCUGGUUGCUGCGCCGGAUAGUUUCAGGGAUUUUUCCAAAAACGCACAGCCUUAAAAGCUCCUGGCGGUGCUCAGAAGGUACUUCCGGUUCUGCACGCCACUGAUUUUUUUUUUUUCUCUCCCGUGGCGCGGACCGACAAGCAGAACAGGAAGUAAGAUCAGAUCGUGAUGUAACUGACUUGAUUAUGCUUUGCCUGAGUCCCACUGAACGGGAUUCCACUUCACUGUGCUUUGGACAAAUGGCUGAGGAAGCAAUGGAAGGGAAGAAAUGUUUGUCGCUGCUCUUGGGUUUAGUGUUCAGCCCGUCACUGCAAGAAGAGGUCAUGGGGGGAGGAGCCUGGGGCUGAUGGUCACACGGUCUGAAGUAUCAAGGGGAGAGUGACAAGGUCAUUUUCUCUUCACCUAGCUUUCUCCUAAUUGUCUAGUCACGGAUCCCGCUUUCAAGGCGUGUCUUCUCACCUCACUUAACCUCACACAGAUCAUUCCUUACUGAUGCAUCCAGAGGCUGACCCAUCUAAAUGAUCCUCAUAGUCAAGGCUAGAGGCUCCUCUGCCAGGGAAUUCUAGGCCCUGCCAAGCUGACAAUAUCACAAACGCGUUUGCUAAGAUACUAGAAACUUGAAAGUGUAUAAGUAAUAACUAACGGUAAUUGUAAUAAAUAGCAAUAAAUAACUGGAACUGUA